AUGGAAGGUCGCCCGUUGUUGGCCCCGGCCGUGACGCUGUGUCCUCCUUGACCGGCGUUGGGCUCGAGGGCCUCGCGAUACGUCGGCGACCUAGACGAUGGCAUGGCGGAGGGGCAGCUCUACGCCCUUUUCUGCCAGGUGGCGCCCGUGGCGUCCCUCCGUAUCUGCCGGGACGUCACUGGCAGGUCACUUGGGUACGCCUACGUGAAUUUCUACAGUAGGGAGGACGCCAAACGUGCAUUAGACUCUUUUACCCCUGCCAACAGGAAGCAUAUCCGAGUUAUGUUCUCGAAUAGGGACCCAACGCUGCGAUUGAGUGGAAAGGCCAAUAUAUUCAUAAAAAAUCUUGUGCCAAAUAUUGAUGGCAAGAGCUUGAGUGAUAUGUUUGGUCGCUAUGGCACUAUACUAUCAUGCAAAGUGGCCACUCACUUUAACGGUCAAUCAAAAGGGUACGGAUUUGUUCAGUUUGCAGAGGAGACAUCUGCCAAUGAUGCCAUCGACAACUUGAAUGGCAAGUUGGUGAAUGGCAAACAAAUUUUUGGAGGUCUCUUCAUUCGUCGUCCGGAGAGGCAUCCAAAUAUCAGCUUGAGUAUUAAUUAUACAAAUGUAUAUGUGAAGAACUUGCCAAAGGAAUUCACUCACAGUGACCUUCUGCAAGAGUUUGGUCCAUUCGGUACAAUUACUAGCGUUGUAAUCAUGAGAGAUAAUGAUGGAAUAUCCAAAUGCUUCGGAUUCGUUAACUAUGGGCAAUUAGAAUGUGCUGCAGAAGCUAUGAAAAGUCUUAAUGGGAAGAUGAUUAAGGAUACAAUUUUGUAUGUUGGAAGAGCUCAGAAAAAGUCAGAAAGAGAAGCAGAGCUGAAAGAAAACUUUGAGCGUGCGAGAAAUAAGAAAUUCAAAAAGUUUGAAGGGCUCUGUCUAUACGUGAAGAAUCUAGAUGAUAGUAUUAAUGGUCUAAAUCUUAGAGGGUUAUUUGAAUUUUUUGGUGAGAUAGGAUCAUGCAAGGUACUUCUCUCUUUAUUUGCUAGCUAA
rnacentral:rRNA from 1 species